UGCAGUCGAGCGGACAGAUGGGAGCUUGCUCCCUGAUGUUAGCGGCGGACGGGUGAGUAACACGUGGGUAACCUGCCUGUAAGACUGGGAUAACUCCGGGAAACCGGGGCUAAUACCGGAUGGUUGUUUGAACCGCAUGGUUCAAACAUAAAAGGUGGCUUCGGCUACCACUUACAGAUGGACCCGCGGCGCAUUAGCUAGUUGGUGAGGUAACGGCUCACCAAGGCAACGAUGCGUAGCCGACCUGAGAGGGUGAUCGGCCACACUGGGACUGAGACACGGCCCAGACUCCUACGGGAGGCAGCAGUAGGGAAUCUUCCGCAAUGGACGAAAGUCUGACGGAGCAACGCCGCGUGAGUGAUGAAGGUUUUCGGAUCGUAAAGCUCUGUUGUUAGGGAAGAACAAGUACCGUUCGAAUAGGGCGGUACCUUGACGGUACCUAACCAGAAAGCCACGGCUAACUACGUGCCAGCAGCCGCGGUAAUACGUAGGUGGCAAGCGUUGUCCGGAAUUAUUGGGCGUAAAGGGCUCGCAGGCGGUUUCUUAAGUCUGAUGUGAAAGCCCCCGGCUCAACCGGGGAGGGUCAUUGGAAACUGGGGAACUUGAGUGCAGAAGAGGAGAGUGGAAUUCCACGUGUAGCGGUGAAAUGCGUAGAGAUGUGGAGGAACACCAGUGGCGAAGGCGACUCUCUGGUCUGUAACUGACGCUGAGGAGCGAAAGCGUGGGGAGCGAACAGGAUUAGAUACCCUGGUAGUCCACGCCGUAAACGAUGAGUGCUAAGUGUUAGGGGGUUUCCGCCCCUUAGUGCUGCAGCUAACGCAUUAAGCACUCCGCCUGGGGAGUACGGUCGCAAGACUGAAACUCAAAGGAAUUGACGGGGGCCCGCACAAGCGGUGGAGCAUGUGGUUUAAUUCGAAGCAACGCGAAGAACCUUACCAGGUCUUGACAUCCUCUGACAAUCCUAGAGAUAGGACGUCCCCUUCGGGGGCAGAGUGACAGUUGGUGCAUGGUUGUCGUCAGCUCGUGUCGUGAGAUGUUGGGUUAAGUCCCGCAACGAGCGCAACCCUUGAUCUUAGUUGCCAGCAUUCAGUUGGGCACUCUAAGGUGACUGCCGGUGACAAACCGGAGGAAGGUGGGGAUGACGUCAAAUCAUCAUGCCCCUUAUGACCUGGGCUACACACGUGCUACAAUGGACAGAACAAAGGGCAGCGAAACCGCGAGGUUAAGCCAAUCCCACAAAUCUGUUCUCAGUUCGGAUCGCAGUCUGCAACUCGACUGCGUGAAGCUGGAAUCGCUAGUAAUCGCGGAU
rnacentral:rRNA from 1 species